GAUGAACGCUGGCGGCGUGCCUAAUACAUGCAAGUCGAGCGAACAGACGAGGAGCUUGCUCCUCUGACGUUAGCGGCGGACGGGUGAGUAACACGUGGAUAACCUACCUAUAAGACUGGGAUAACUUCGGGAAACCGGAGCUAAUACCGGAUAAUAUAUUGAACCGCAUGGUUCAAUAGUGAAAGACGGUUUUGCUGUCACUUAUAGCUGGAUCCGCGCCGCAUUAGCUAGUUGGUAAGGUAACGGCUUACCAAGGCAACGAUGCGUAGCCGACCUGAGAGCGUGAUCGGCCACACUGGAACUGAGACACGGUCCAGACUCCGACGGGAGGCAGCAGUAGGGAAUCUUCCGCAAUGGGCGAAAGCCUGACGGAGCAACGCCGCGUGAGUGAUGAAGGUCUUCGGAUCGUAAAACUCUGUUAUUAGGGAAGAACAAAUGUGUAAGUAACUAUGCACGUCUUGACGGUACCUAAUCAGAAAGCCACGGCUAACUACGUG
rnacentral:rRNA from 1 species